CUUGUUCAUGCUUCUUCUCUUCAACUCUGAUAGCUGAGCUUCCCAGCAGUUCUUCCACUCGCCUCUCACUUCCAGUUCCUCAUCGUUUUGGUGUCGUCUCCUAGCAGAGAACGCGAGGUGAAGACCCCGAGCCAUAUCUCGAUCAUAAAGAGCUCUCCUUCUAGGAUCCGAGAGAGUCUCGUAAGCCUCCUGAACCCGAAUAAACCUCUGGGUAUACUCCUCAACCCGAUCCGGGGGCGACACGUCCGGGUGGUACUUCCUGGCGACCUUUUUAUAAGCCUGCUUUAUCUCAAUCAAGGUACCGGACUCAGGAAUCCCCAACAGCUCAUAAAAGCUCAUGUUGGUGGGGAUUCCUUCCUGCACAGCAGCCUUGAUUUUGAAUGACCCGUGCGAGAAACGUGUCAGAGGCUUGAAGCGGAAAAAUGGGUCGGACUUAUACGUUACGGUGGGAGAAGAGACGGUGGAAGAGAAGCAGAAGCGAGAGGCCUCGCUUCCAGGGAUCAAUAAGCCAUGAGUACACAUCUCUCUCUGUUACUUUGCAGUGGGUCUGCGUAAAAGUCUCUGGUUUUGGUUUGGCUGUGAAGAAAUUGAGAGAGAAAUUUUUUGGAUUCACAGUUUUGUUCUGUCAGAUUAGCACAGGAUUUGGGAGGGAGAAGGGAAAG
rnacentral:misc_RNA from 1 species